UACGUAGGCAGCGAGCGUUGUUCGGAUUCACUGGGCGUAAGGGGUGCGUAGGUGGUCGGGUAAGUCUGAUGUGAAAUCUCUGGGCUCAACCCAGAAAUGGCAUUGGAUACUAUUCGGCUAGAGGAGUGGAGGGGGGACUGGAAUACUUGGUGUAGCAGUGAAAUGCGUAGAUAUCAAGUGGAACACCAGUGGCGAAGGCGAGUCCCUGGACACUUCCUGACACUGAGGCACGAAAGCUAGGGGAGCAAACAGG
rnacentral:rRNA from 1 species